AGUCACUGACAUUAGAUACCCGUGUAGUCCAGGGUGUAAACGCUGCAGACUUGGUGUUGGAAGCCCUUUGGGGGCAUUCAGUGCCGGAGAGAAGUUGUUAAGUCUGCUACUUGGGAGUACGUCCGCAAGGAUGAAACUUAAAGGAAUUGGCGGGGGAGCACCGCAACGGGAGGAGCGUGCGGUUUAAUUGGAUUCAACACCGUAAAACUCACCAGGGAAGACUGUUACAUGAAGGCCGAGAUGAAGACUCUGCUAGAUUUUCAG
rnacentral:rRNA from 1 species